AAAUGUGAUGACAAGUCAUUUUAAAGAUUGAAAUGAUCAAAACUUCGAAGUUAAGCAUGUUUAGGUAAAAGUAGUACUAGGAUGGAUGAUCCCUUAGAAGUAUUCGUGUUGCAUUCC
rnacentral:rRNA from 1 species